UACGGGGGGAGCAAGCGUUGUUCGGAUUUACUGGGCGUAAAGGGCGCGUAGGCGGCCACCGCAAGUCGACUGUGAAAUCUCCGGGCUUAACCCGGAAAGGUCAGCCGAUACUGCGGGGCUAGAGUGCAGAAGGGGCAACUGGGAAUUCUCGGUGUAGCGGUGAAAUGCGUAGAUAUCGAGAGGAACACCUGCGGCGAAGGCGGGUUGCUGGGCUGAUACUGACGCUCAUGCACGAAAGCGUGGGGAGCAAACAGG
rnacentral:rRNA from 1 species